ensembl:snoRNA
ACCCCCUGGCAAUGGGCAAGGAGACACGUGAUUGGUGGUGUUGCUCUUAUAUCAGUCAGGGGCAAAGCAGAUGUAUAGUCCUUAGUUCAUCCGAGUUUGAUGCCUGUGGCAGUGGCCAAAGCUGUUUCAUGCCUGAGGCACAUAA